UACGUAGGGUGCGAGCGUUAAUCGGAAUUACUGGGCGUAAAGCGUGCGCAGGCGGUUCGUUGUGUCGGCGGUGAAAGCCCCGGGCUCAACCUGGGAAUGGCCGUUGAAACUGGCGAACUGGAGUGUGGCAGAGGGGGGUGGAAUUCCGCGUGUAGCAGUGAAAUGCGUAGAGAUGCGGAGGAACACCGAUGGCGAAGGCAGCCCCCUGGGCUAACACUGACGCUCAGGCACGAAAGUGUGGGGAGCAAACAGG
rnacentral:rRNA from 1 species